ACACGAAGUGAGUGGCGAACGGGUGAGUAACACGUGGGUAACCUGCCCAGAAGUAGGGGAUAACACCUGGAAACAGAUGCUAAUACCGUAUAACAGAGAAAACCGCAUGGUUUUCUUUUAAAAGAUGGCUCUGCUAUCACUUCUGGAUGGACCCGCGGCGUAUUAGCUAGUUGGUGAGGUAAAGGCUCACCAAGGCAGUGAUACGUAGCCGACCUGAGAGGGUAAUCGGCCACAUUGGGACUGAGACACGGCCCAGACUCCUACGGGAGGCAGCAGUAGGGAAUCUUCCACAAUGGACGCAAGUCUGAUGGAGCAACGCCGCGUGAGUGAAGAAGGGUUUCGGCUCGUAAAGCUCUGUUGUUAAAGAAGAACGUGGGUAAGAGUAACUGUUUACCCAGUGACGGUAUUUAACCAGAAAGCCACGGCUAACUACGUGCCAGCAGCCGCGGUAAUACGUAGGUGGCAAGCGUUAUCCGGAUUUAU
rnacentral:rRNA from 1 species